rnacentral:lncRNA from 1 species
CGGUUGGGGGUGGAGUCCAAGGAGGAGGAGGUCAGCUCGGUGCGGGCUGGUUCAAGAAGGAACAGGGGAGAGUUCGGUUUGGGGAAGAAGAAGAGAAAUGCUCUGUUUUCUCUUUUGAAAACAGAGCAUAUUCUGUUUGUUUUUUUAGUUUUCUUUUUGUUUUAUUAAGUGUUUUAUUUUGAGAGCAAGUGUUUUGGGUUUUUUUUAUUCAUGCUAAAGUUGUAAUUUCUGUUGUUUUUAAUCUACGUUCUUCAAAUUAUGCAAACUCUUAAUUUUUCUUUGAUGCAAUAUAUUUAAUUUUCCUUCAUGCAAUCGAUGUUCUAGUCUUCAAUAUUCCUAGCACUGUUUUCAUCCAUUUUAUGCCAGAGUUUUCUUUUUCAUUAAAUAUAUA